GUGGUGCAUGGCUCAGUGGUAGAGCAAUUGCUCAGCAUGUACUAGGUCCUGGUUCAUCCCCAUCACCACA
rnacentral:tRNA from 1 species